rnacentral:rRNA from 1 species
GACGAACGCUGGCGGCGUGCUUAACACAUGCAAGUCGAACGGAAAGGCCCUGCUUUUGUGGGGUGCUCGAGUGGCGAACGGGUGAGUAACACGUGAGUAACCUGCCCUUGACUUUGGGAUAACUUCAGGAAACUGGGGCUAAUACCGGAUAGGAGCUCCUGCUGCAUGGUGGGGGUUGGAAAGUUUCGGCGGUUGGGGAUGGACUCGCGGCUUAUCAGCUUGUUGGUGGGGUAGUGGCUUACCAAGGCUUUGACGGGUAGCCGGCCUGAGAGGGUGACCGGCCACACUGGGACUGAGAUACGGCCCAGACUCCUACGGGAGGCAGCAGUGGGGAAUAUUGCACAAUGGGCGGAAGCCUGAUGCAGCAACGCCGCGUGCGGGAUGACGGCCUUCGGGUUGUAACCGCUUUCGCCUGUGACGAAGCGUGAGUGACGGUAAUGGGUAAAGAAGCACCGGCUAACUACGUG